ACCAAAAAUUUUGGCAAGAAGGCAAUAGUUAUUGAGGUGUUCUCUGCGAUUCGCUACUUUAUGCUCUAAAUCUUCAGGGAUGAAAUCACCUGUCUCAGAAACCCAGUCUCAAACCUGUCUCUUGUGUAAAAUAAUGACACCUGUCUUAUUAACUUGACGUCUCUAACUCCGUUAACUCCCUCUCAUUUUUUUGCUUUUCUUUUCUGAAAUAUCACUCCAAAUUCACUCCAUCACUCCAAAUUCACCGAUUGCAGCGCCAUGUGCGAUCUGAUUGAGAAGCAAGGGAUUUGGCCUCGAUCCAUCUGGCCCCGACCCGACUCGGUUCGACGAGAGAGACGGCAAAACCUCCACGAAGACUGCCUGGGUUUUUGCCUUCUCUUCUUCAUUGUUGUUUUUCUUCUUUCAGAUCUAAGUAGAAUUUUCAAUCCUUUGGUUCUUGGGUUUCUUAAUUGAGAAUUGCUGGGGGUGAGUUCUGGAGAUUGGUAUUAUUCUAUUAGGAUCUUGAGAAUCUAAUAUGUAUAUUCUAUUAAAUCAACUCUUGGAGUUGAAAUUCUUUGCACUCAUACUUCAUAUUGAUAAAUUUGGUCGUUUCUUAUAUUCUGAAGGUGUUGAUGAAGAUGAGAAUGCAGGAAUAUGCAGAGUGAUUAUUUCUCUAAUAAAAAAGAAAAGUUAACAAAGUUGACGCUGAUUAGUUAAUGCGACACGUGUCAAUAUUUGAGGCAAAGGGACAGAAAACUUGGGGACAGGCGAUUUCCUCCCAAAUCCUCAAUCUGUUUAGUGCUGGAAUUACCAAACAGACUCCGAAGUUUUGGGCUUUUUGUAGAAUUGAAAACUAAUACAAAACUGAUUGGGUUAUGUUGGUGAAUGUUUGUAUCUGUGCAUUGUGUAUGUGUUAUUGUUUAGAAGAUGAGAGUUAUGAAUUGUUUUAUCUACUUUUUAGGUGCUGCACGCUGGGAACACCAAUCAGAAUGGUUACAAGGCACUUAUUGCUGCCGAGUUCAGCGGUGUCGAUGUUGAGCUGGUGAAGGAUUUCAAGAUGGUGUCGAACAAGACUCCCCAGUUUCUCAAAAUGAACCCCAUUGGGAAGGUCCUGUGUUGGAAACGCCAGACGGUCCUGUUUUUGAGAGUAAUGCCAUUGCGCGAUAUGUUACUCGUUUGAAGGCCGAUAAUCCCCUUUAUGGUUCUUCCUUGAUUGAAUA